CAGAGUUCGUGCCCUCACGGGUAGAUCUCCCACCCUGUGUUAUUAUACCUUUGUUGCUUUGGCGGGCCGCCCUCGGCUACCGGCCCCGGCUGGUACGCGCCCGCCGGAGGACCCAAACUCUUGUUAUAGCGGCAUGUCUUCUGAGUCUCGCGGGGAAAACGAAUGAAUCA
rnacentral:misc_RNA from 1 species